rnacentral:rRNA from 1 species
GCUACGGGAGGCAGCAGUGAGGAAUAUUGGUCAAUGGGCGCGAGACUGAACCAGCCAAGUAGCGUGAAGGAUGACUGCCCUAAGGGUUGUAAACUUCUUUUAUAAAGGAAUAAAGUGAGGCACGGUGGCCUUUUUGUAUGUACUUUAUGAGUAAGGAUCGGCUAACUCCGUGCCAGCAGCCGCGGUAAUAGGGAGGAUCCGAGCGUUAUACGGAUUUAUUGGGUUUAAAGGGAGAGUAGAUGGGUUGUUAAGUCAGUUUUGAACGUUUGCGGCUCAACAGUAAAAUUGCAAGUGAAACUGGCAGUCGUGAGUACAGUUGAGGUAGGCGGAAUUCGUGGUGUAGCGGUGAAAUGCUUA